CCUAAUUGGUCCUGUAAGUCACUCUGGAUAAGAGUGUCUGCUAAAUGACUAAAA
rfam:Salmo salar isolate Sally breed double haploid chromosome ssa02, whole genome shotgun sequence.